rnacentral:tRNA from 1 species
GCCUGGCUGGCUCAGUGGGAAGAGCAUGCAACUGUUGCUCUCAGGAUUGUGAGUUUGAGUCCCAUGUUGGGUA